GAUGAACGUUGGCGGCGUGGAUUACGCAUGCAAGUCGAACGGAUCCGGCUUCGCUUUCUGGCUGAUUAUAACGUAGAGGAGGAGACGUGAACCAACCCCGAGGUUGGUUAUUGACACGGGAAAAUGCGGGUAAUCCCCAACUGCUUGACCACCCCGGCAUCGUCAUUUCACCUGAUCCUUCCUCCGCAUUUUUACGGGUAUGAGAGGGGUCCGCUACUUGGUGGGGUUACGGCGCACCAAUGCUGUAAUGAGGACACGGUGUGCAACCGUGUUGGGGCACUGAGCGACUGAAACGGUGCUGAGACUCUUACGGGACUCCUCCGUGAAGAAUCUUCGGCAUUGGUCGCACAAUUGAGGCAACCACGCCCCACGGACGACGAAGGACUGCAGAAUGGUUUCGCCUGUCAAGGGGCUAGAAGCACCGACCAUGACCGAGUACUUGACUAAGAACCCCCUCCUUACUUCCCGCCAGCCGCCGUAAUUCUACCCGUGCGAAGAGUUUUUUCAUUCUUUGCUGUUUGUGCACGUAUAGGCUGAUGCUCGCUUCAUAACAUGUAAAACCCCAGAUCAAACUGUGGGACUGCUUUGAAACCUAUCGAGGGAGAGUACAUGAGGGGAUCGUGGAAUUCCUAUUGUACGGNGAAUUCCGUAGAUUCAGAAGGAACCCCCGUGGCGAAAGCUGAUCUCUGGACUGUUCUGACACUGAACUCAAAGCUUGGGAGCAAACAGGAUUACUACGCUGGUAGUCCUAGCCGGAACGAUGACUACUAGCUAGUGGGCUUGUCGAUACCCUGGCUGCGCUUAUGAAACUAUAAUAUUCCAGCUGGGCGAUACUGCGCAAGAAUAAU
rnacentral:rRNA from 1 species